CUUGACCGAGCCGAGCCACAGGGGAUCGUCGUCGGUCCUGGCCUGUCCGUACGUCGCGAGCAGGGCCUGUGCCUC
rnacentral:antisense_RNA from 1 species